GACGAACGCUGGCGGCGUGCUUAACACAUGCAAGUCGAACGAAGUGGCGAACGGGUGAGUAACGCGUAAUCAACCUGCCCUUCAGAGGGGGACAACAGUUGGAAACGACUGCUAAUACCGCAUACUGAAGGAGGGGAUUGCGUCGGAUUCGCUAGUUGGAGGGGUAACGGCCCACCAAGGCGAGUGUCAGUAGCCCGUCUGAGAGGAUGAACGGCCCCAUUGGGACUGGGGCACUGCCCAGAAUCCUACGGGAGGGAGCAGGUGGGGAGCUUCCGCAAUGGAGCAAAGUCUGACGGAGCAACGCCGCGUGAGUGAUGACGGCCUUCGGGUUGUAAAGCUCUGUUAAUCGGGACGCGGUACCGGAAUAGAAAGCCACGGCUAACUACGUGCCAGCAGCCGCGGUAAUAC
rnacentral:rRNA from 1 species